GAUGAACGCUGGCGGCGUGCCUAAUACAUGCAAGUCGAGCGAACGGACGAGAAGCUUGCUUCUCUGAUGUUAGCGGCGGACGGGUGAGUAACACGUGGAUAACCUACCUAUCAGACUGGGAUAAUUUCGGGAAACCGGAGCUAAUACCGGAUAAUAUUUUGAACCGCAUGGUUCAAAAGUGAAAGACGGUCUUGCGGUCACUUAUAGAUGGAUCCGCGCUGCAUUAGCUAGUUGGUAAGGUAACGGCUUACCAAGGCAACGAGGCAUAGCCGACCUGAGAGGGUGAUCGCCCACACUGGAGCUGGGACACGGUCCAGGCUCCUACGGGAGGCAGCAGUAGGGAAUCUUCCGCAGAGGUGGAAAGCCUGACGGAGCAAGGCCGCGUGAGUGAUGAAGGUCUUCGGAUCGUAAAGCUCUGUUAUUAGGGAAGAACAUAUGUGUAAGUAACUGUGCACAUCUUGACGGUACCUAAUCAGAAAGCCCCGGCUAACUACGUG
rnacentral:rRNA from 1 species